rnacentral:SRP_RNA from 2 species
GCUGGGCAUGGUGGCAUGUGCCUGUAGUCCCAACUACCUGGGAGGCUGAGGUGGGAGGAUCGCCUGAGCCCAGGAAGUCGAGGCUGCAGUGAGCUGUGAUUGUGCCACUGCACUCCAGCCUGGGCGACAGAGUAAGAUCCUGCCUCAA